GAUGAACGCUGGCGGCGUGCCUAAUACAUGCAAGUCGAGCGAACGGACGAGAAGCUUGCUUCUCUGAUGUUAGCGGCGGACGGGUGAGUAACACGUGGAUAACCUACCUAUAAGACUGGGAUAACUUCGGGAAACCGGAGCUAAUACCGGAUGAUAUUUUGAACCGCAUGGUUCAAAAGUGAAAGACGGUCUUGCUGUCACUUAUAGAUGGAUCCGCGCUGCAUUAGCUAGUUGGUAAGGUAACGGCUUACCAAGGCAACGAUGCAUAGCCGACCUGAGAGGGAGAUCGGCCACACUGGAACUGAGACACGGUCCAGACUCCUACGGGAGACAGCAGUAGGGAAUCUUCCGCAAUGGGCGAAAGCCUGACGGAGCAACGCCGCGUGAGUGAUGAAGGUCUUCGGAUCGUAAAACUCUGUUAUUAGGGAAGAACAUAUGUGUAAGUAACUGUGCACAUCUUGACGGUACCUAAUCAGAAAGCCACGGCUAACUACGUG
rnacentral:rRNA from 1 species